rnacentral:rRNA from 1 species
GGGGAAUUUUGGACAAUGGGGGCAACCCUGAUCCAGCCAUGCCGCGUGCGGGAAGAAGGCCUUCGGGUUGUAAACCGCUUUUGUCAGGGAAGAAAUCCUCUGGGCUAAUACCCCGGGGGGAUGACGGUACCUGAAGAAUAAGCACCGGCUAACUACGUGCCAGCAGCCGCGGUAAUACGUAGGGUGCGAGCGUUAAUCGGAAUUACUGGGCGUAAAACGUGCGCAGGCGGUUGUGCAAGACAGAUGUGAAAUCCCCGGGCUUAACCUGGGAACUGCAUUUGUGACUGCACGGCUAGAGUGCGGCAGAGGGGAGUGGAAUUCCGCGUGUAGCAGUGAAAUGCGUAGAUAUGCGGAGGAACACCGAUGGCGAAGGCAGGUCCCUGGGCAUGCACUGACGCUCAUGCACGAAAGCGUGGGGAGCAAAC